GUCCUGAGCAAGACAUUAAACUGCUCACCGCCCAAUACCGCAUCACCUGAUCACUGAUGGCUCAACGGCAUCCGGCGGCACAACUCAAUAUCACAGCUGCCUUUUGAGCGGGUUAGCUGCAAUCCGAAACGGAGAACUCCGUUAGGACUGCGGUUAGGUUUUUGCACCCUUUUUUGCGGCAGCGCC
rnacentral:ncRNA from 1 species